GCCUGGCAGGGGCUGGGUGUGCAGCAGGCCGGCUGGAAGCCUGAGGAGCAGCUGGUGUGGCACAUGGUGGCGUGGGCUGGGCUGGGCUGCUGUGGAGCAUGA